GAGGGUGUGGUUCAGUGGAAAAGUGCCUGCAUAGCAUGCACGAGGUCCUGAGUUCAAUUCUCAGUACCUCCG
rnacentral:tRNA from 1 species